UACGUAGGCAGCAAGCGUUGUUCGGAGUUACUGGGCGUAAAGGGCGUGUAGGCGGUCUUUUAAGUUUGGUGUGAAAUCUCCCGGCUCAACUGGGAGGGUGCGCCGAAAACUGGGAGGCUAGAGUACUGGAUGGGAGAGUGGAAUUCCUGGUGUAGCGGUGAAAUGCGUAGAUAUCAGGAGGAACACCGGUGGUGUAGACGGCUCUCUGGACAGAAACUGACGCUGAGACACGAAAGCGUGGGUAGCAAACAGG
rnacentral:rRNA from 1 species